rnacentral:rRNA from 1 species
AUCCAGACUCCUACGGGAGGCAGCAGUGAGGAAUAUUGGUCAAUGGGCGAGAGCCUGAACCAGCCAAGUCGCGUGAAGGAUGACGGCCCUACGGGUUGUAAACUUCUUUUGUCAGGGAGCAAUUGAGUCCACGUGUGGGCUUAGCGAGAGUACCUGAAGAAAAAGCAUCGGCUAACUCCGUGCCAGCAGCCGCGGUAAUACGGAGGAUGCGAGCGUUAUCCGGAUUUAUUGGGUUUAAAGGGUGCGUAGGCGGAAUAUCAAGUCAGCGGUAAAAAUUCGGGGCUCAACCCCGUCGUGCCGUUGAAACUGAUGUUCUUGAGUGGGCGAGAAGUAUGCGGAAUGCGUGGUGUAGCGGUGAAAUGCUUAGAUAUCACGAAGAACUCCGAUUGCGAAGGCAGCAUACGGCAGCGCUACUGACGCUGAAGCUCGAAGGCGCGGGUAUCGAACAGGAUUAGAUACCCGCGUACA